rnacentral:lncRNA from 10 species
UCAAAGAGUUCACAAUUUUGUGCAGGAGAAAAACAUUGGAAAGGGGUACUAACUGGAAGAAAGGAAUGCGAAUGAUUACCAAUCCUGCUGCAAGUGCUUAAAGAAGAUGGAAUCAGAGUGUGGGAACCAGGCUGAACUACAUGACUGACAGUAGAUGACCGCCACUGCCACGGGAUCCACAGGGUCCACAAAGACUGGUAAAAGGUUUUCCAAAAUUGAACAAAGAAAGGCUACUGAAUCUGCAGCCCAGUUGGAGGCAGCAGUCACCAAUCACCCCCCUCAAGAUCUCAAAGUCCAUCAGCCAUUCACCACACCCUUUCCUGAUCCUUUUUUGUACACAGAAAGACUCCUUACCAGGGACAGAACACAUAAUUGGACCUGGCCACAAAGCUGUUUCUACCAAUUUUCCAGUCAGCCCUGAAGUACUAAUAACAAUCUUGACACUCUUUAUUCAUUAUUGUGGAUAUCUUUAAAAUGUGUAUUUAAUAAU